UCUGGCUGGAGGACUGGCGCCUGGCGUUUGGACUUUGCAACUCAGAUGUGAAGUUGCCUUGGCCAAAAGCCAUUUGAGCAUGAGGAACGUGUUCUCAGAGUGGUCACAGCCUUUGACAGACAGGGUGCUGAAAUCUCACUGCCAUGGACCCUGCCUCCCGUCGGCUGAAAUCAAUCCCCUGUUCUCACAGUGUGGUUUGGGGGCUCCAGGGGGAGGGGUCAGUUGAGUCCAGGAGAGCAACAGUCACCAGAUUAAUGACUCACCUGGGGUCAGGAAGUCCAGGGCCACCUGGAGAUGAAUUAUCUGGUUAAGAAGCCAUGACCGGGUGGAUCAAUGGAGCUGGGGUUUUGUGGUUUAUUACCACACUGUGCCCCUGGGGCUGGGGCUCCCAGGAACACCUGCCUUAGAGCCCAUGAGGAUUGCUGACUUUCUCAGAAGUGCCCAGCCCUAGGUCUCUGAGUAUUCAGGGAGCUCAGAGCCUGUCUGGGGAGAUACAAGCCCUCCAGGAUCAGUUGCUAGAUGGGGAUUAAUAUGAAGAAAGCCCUUGGGUGAAUACAAGAAGGAAUCAGGCCUGGACCCUGGCACAGUGGCGCCAGAACCACCUCUCAGCUGUUUCCCAAGUUGGGGCUGGAAGGCUCAGCCUCUACCCCACACAGACAGGACAUGGGAUGUGGCGGCCACAAGAAGCAGGAGUCAUCUUGGGCAAGGCCACUCUCUUUAGCCGAAGCUAUUCUCCUGUGGAAGCACCAUUGGUCCACUACUCCCAACAACUGAGGAUAAGGACCCUCAGGAAAGGCAUCUGGGAGAGCUGUGAAUGCACCCCACAAUCACCUUCCAGAACUGGGGAGAACAGGGCAGGUGUAGGAAGACUUCCAUCAGAGACAUUGCCUGGGCUGAUUCCAGAGGAAGGAGGGAUGAUUAUGCAGGCUAACAGUCAGGAGCAGGGCACACAGGGAACAGAACUUUCCAACAACAGGAUCACGUGUGCUAAAACCCAGAGGCCCAGGUGUCACCGAAGAGGGGUGCAGCUGGGUACAAAGAUCUGCUGCUCUGCUCCGCUAAAGAGCGUGAGUUUCUAAUUAAGGGGAUUUUAGAAGAAGUAUGGCAUUGUAAUUGCAAGUCGUGCCUUAGAAUAGUUUCUGUAGCUGUUUCCUAGAUUACUCAACCAUGCUCUGCCUCAAUUCCCUUACCUGUAAAAUAGAGGGAGUGCCAAUGUUUCUGCAUGACGUCAUAGUAGAAGCACAAACGCAGUAAGCAAGAAGCAGAGUCCAGGAGGGACAGGGUACACCAUUCAAGGCGCAUCCCUUGUUUACCUACUUCCUCCAGUGAGGUCUGGCCUCCUAAUGUCUACCCUCUCCCAAUAAUGUUAGCGAAUUAUGACUCUAGUGGAGGAGCAGGGCAAAGCUCCAUAAUGAAACCUCUGAGUGUCGAGUUGGGGAUUAAGCCUCCAGUACAUGAGCCUUUGGGGGAGAUGCUUCACAUACAAACCGGCACUAUCCCAGACUGGACUGAGAGAGCAGGGGACAGCUGGUGCUAACAGAACCUUUUGUUCCAAGUCAAGAUGCCUGGCUCCAGAUGGUGGUCCUCUGACCUCUCCUGUCCUAGAAAUAUCUUCACCAUCCAGUUACACCACCACUGGCCAGCUGUCAGUGGCCACCCAGCUGCUUCGUAGUCCAAGAUGCUGACUGGAGCUCCAGCAUCCCAGACUUAAAGGGAAGAAAGGCAAUCCAUCCAGUUUUCUGCACAGUGAAGAUGGAGUCUGUCUUCUGUCUAAGAAUCUACCACAAGGCUCUCAAUUCCUGCUGGAUAGAGUCUGUACUCCUCACUCUGAUAUUGCAUGAACUUUCGUCUGUCCACCCAGGAUCCAUUCACUAUUGGGUCUUUGGCGAUAGAACUCAUAUCCACAAAGUGAGCCAGGAUUUUGAAACUCUAUUUCCCAGUAUACCUUGAAGAUAAGCCACAGUGGGAUUGAAUUGUGAGCAAGUAGAAGGUUCCACAGGAAGGUGGAACUAGGUGAGCUGCCUGCCUUCCCUUAGUUUCCCCCAUGUCUGAGAGGCGUUGGACUAUGAGGUGACCUUCAAGAUGCAGACACUUGCUGAGGCUGUACAGAGACUGUGAUCUUGGUGACAGCAGGGUCAUCGUAUAAGUCCCGGAUUGCCAGGCUCUAAAAUGAUUUUACCUUACAGAAAAAUAAACCUUUUAUGUUUAAGCGAGUGUGAUAUGGCUGCACAUAGUCCUCUUUAUUCUGGCUGAUACAUCUGUUUAUAGCUCUAUAUAUGGUGUCCUCAGCAUGCUUUCUGAUUUCCUCUUAUUUGAGCCCCCUGCAAAGAUGCCAUGUUCUUACCAGGCUGUGCUGU